GUCCUCAUGUUUAUAUUUGAGGUUUGGCCUGCCCGGUGAUUUUAAUUUAACGGCCGCGGUAUAUUGACCGUGCAAAGGUAGCAUAAUCAUUAGUCUUUUAAUAGGAGGCUGGAAUGAAAGGUUUAACGAAAAAAUUAGCUGUCUCAGUUAUAAAUUUGAAUUUAACUUUUAAGUUAAAAGGCUUAAAUUUUUUUGUAGGACGAGAAGACCCUAUAGAGCUUUACAUUUAAUGUUUUGUUAUAUUAAUUUAGAUUAAUACUUUUAAUUAACUUUAAAAAAUGUUUUGUUGGGGUGACAAGAAAUAUAUAUUUAACUUUUAUUAUUAUAUUUUCAUUAAUUUAUGUUUAUUGGAUCCAAAAUUUUUGAUCAUUAGAAUAAGUUACCUUAGGGAUAACAGCGUAAUCUUCCCUCAGAGUUCAAAUUUACGGGAAGGGUUGCGACCUCGAUGUUGGAUUAAGAUGACAAUUGGGUGCAGUAGCUCAAUUUGUAGGUCUGUUCGACCUUUAAAUUCUU
rnacentral:rRNA from 1 species